AUACCUUUCUCGGCCUUUUGGCUAAGAUCAAGUGUAGUAUCUGUUCUUAUCAGUUUAAUAUCUGAUACGUAAGCCAUUGGCUUACAUGAUAUUAAAUUAGUUUUUUUAAGGGGAGGGUCCAUCACAGUAGCUUGCUACUGGGACUCCCUCGCGUCGCCCUUGUCUUGCACUACUGCUAGGGCCUGGCGCACCCUCU
rnacentral:snRNA from 1 species